CAUAGCGCUUAAAGAAAAUACUGUAACAACAAACCUUCCUCCAUCAGUAUUUUCAAAAUUCAAUUUUCCAUUAGCAACUGAGGAAGAACUGCACAAUUUUGAGAGUCACUUGGCAGACAGAGAGAAGUACCAGCAAGUGCAAUUGGAAUUAUCAAGAAUUGGUGGUGGUACCACCAAAAUUAUGGUACGACGUUUAAUGGAGAAGCUUAUAAGCAGUCAACUUGGUGUUGAGUACAGUUGGAUAGGAUUUAAGAAAAAAAAGAACUUCUCAGUUUUACUCAUAUCCAAAGUACUCAUAGAUGCUGUAUUGGCUGUGCAUAAAAAUUCAAAUGCAGCGGAAGUGGAAGCAUCAGCCAAACAAUGGCUGGUUAAGUGUAAGGAGCGAUGCACCAAAGAAAAAUAAUUUAUAUUAUUAUAAGAAUAUUAU